AUUGAACGCUGGCGGCAGGCCUAACACAUGCAAGUCGAACGAGUGGCGGACGGGUGAGUAAUGUCUGGGAAACUGCCCGAUGGAGGGGGAUAACUACUGGAAACGGUAGCUAAUACCGCAUACCAUCGGAUGUGCCCAGAUGGGAUUAGCUAGUAGGUGGGGUAACGGCUCACCUAGGCGACGAUCCCUAGCUGGUCUGAGAGGAUGACCAGCCACACUGGAACUGGGCCACGUUCCAGACUCUACCGGAGGCCAGCAGUGGGAAAUAUUGACCAAUGGGGGCAAGCCUGAUGCAGCCAGGCCGGGUGUAUGAGGAAGGCCUUCGGGUUGUAAAGUACUUUCAGCGAGGAGGCGUUACUCGAAGAAGAAGCAUCGGCUAACUCCGUGCCAGCAGCCGCGGUAAUU
rnacentral:rRNA from 1 species